CGGAUCGUAGCGGAGUGGUUAACGCGUUGGCCUGCUAUAAAUCUCAUGGUUUAAGUCAGCCAAUUCCUUCGGGAGCGUGUGUUCGAAUCACACAGGUGUCG